rnacentral:lncRNA from 1 species
AUUAUUUCCACUAUGCAAAUUUCUUUUUAAUUCAGUGAAAAGCAACUGUUAUACCUCAUAGUCUCUUGUUUUUAAUUGACCAAAAUAUUCCAUUCUAUUCUCACAAGGUUCUGAGGUCUCUGCCUGAAAAAGCAAGUCUCACCCUAUAGACACUGAUGUGCCCAGCACUACGUGCCAGCCAUUGUGGGAACACAAGAGGGUCACCUGCCCAAGGGCUAGGGAGGAAGACCUCAAGAACACAGAGGAGGUGGAAAAGGACAAAAUAGGUGCCAUUUUAGGGAGACCAUGGUCAGAUAGGGGGAUGCUCAGUUCCUUGCAGCCUCGGGCGGGCUUAUGUUGGCACUAAGGCCAUUGUGGAGUGUACUUAUAUGAUCCCUAUGCUGAUAGGAUUACCUUCCUAGACAUAGCUAGACGCAAAGCCACAUGUGUAAGGCUGCUGAGCAAAGACAGCAUCCCAGCAUGGGUGUGUUCACGGUGGAUUCACCACGUUGCAUAUGUAAAGUGGUCCCCUUGGCUUACCCUUCACUUUGCUCAUGAGAUUCAGAAGCUGGUGGUCCAGCAGGGGUGAGCAUUUGUGAAAUAGUAAGCUGAACUUAGUGGUGAGAUUUCAGAACAGACUUCUGUGAAGUAAGAGAUGUAACCAUGCAUCUAAAAUCAGAUGGCCGUGUAACUGCUCGGGCAUAGAAAUGGUGGGAGAACCUGUCCUGGGUACCUGGCAUUUCACAUGAGCCCAGGGAUAUGUCUUGUGCCAAGGCACACAAGUGUCCAUGGACUUGGACAGGUGCCAAGGGUUUUUGUCUCUGUUCCUAUGUGGGAGGCUGGCUGUGAUUUACAUUAAUUUCUGUAUUUCAAACGAAGAUGUCUGCAGAUCUCCAUUUUGAUGUUACAGCCUCAUUGCCCAGGCAGUGGGCAGUGCCCAGACACCCUUUCUGACUAGCCACUGCAUUGGGCUUCUGUGAUUCAAAGUAGUGUAUAUAUUUAUUUACUUCUCUGACUGUGGCCAACAGCCAAAUGCCAUUUUAUGUUCCUUGUAUUCAGUCCAUUACCAAAGAGGUGUUUGCACUUUGUAAUGAUACCUUUCAGUUCAAAUAAAAGGACCACAUCGU